AAUAAAAUCAAAUUAGAGGCACAUUUUGUACGAUAUUUUCCAUUUUAGUCGAGGAAUUUGUAAAAAAAAACAAAAAAAACAGGCGCACAAUACAUACAUUUCUGAUUAGGUAUAUUUUCUAUUAUUACACGGCACGAAUAAUCUGGAAAAAACUAUACUAGUAUCUACCUGUACGUGCUACCUAUCGUGCUGUACGAUGAAUGUGAAUAACUCCUAAAAUAACUUA